rnacentral:sRNA from 1 species
AACGGGGGAUUUUAAAAUCCCCCGAUGAAUGACAAAAUUACAGCCCGGACAAGCUGUAUUAUACCCAUAUUUGACCUUUGAUCUCUAAGUGUGACCUUGACCUUUGAGCUAUGGACAUGGGUCUUGCACGCGACACGCCGACUCAUCAUGGUGAACAUUUGUGCCAAGUUAUUUUAAAAUCCCCCGAUGAAUGACAAAGUUACAGCCCGGACAAGCUGUAUUAUACCCAUAUUUGACCUUUGAUCUCUAAGUGUGACCUUGACCUUUGAGCUAUGGACAUGGGUCUUGCACGCGACACACCGACUCAUCAUGGUGAACAUUUGUGCCAAGUUAUUUUAAAAUCCCCCGAUAAAUGACAAAGUUACAGCCCGGACAAGAUCGGACGCACGCACGCACACACGGACUCACGCACGCAAGCACAUACACUCAACCGCCAUUGUGACAACUAAGUCGAGCUCACCGCAAGCGGGCUCGACAAAAAUGUACUGGCUUCAUUGCAUUAAGUUGGUUUUUAGUUUCAU